CUCAGCAGCUGAUGUCUUGAGUGUCAGAGUUUGUCUCUGAUGCCCUCUGCUGGCCGUGGGAAGCUGCCCUAGCAAGAUCUCCAGUAAUGUCCAGUAGGGGGCAGUAAAUGAACUGGAAACAUUGAAGUUCAACAACAGUCUGCUGCUGACAUUUACAGUGCAAUUACAGACUCAAUGUGACUGACUGAAGCUGUGCAACUCAAGAAAACCCCAAGAACAACAAGAGUCACUACAGAAAUAACGCUUUUUUGAGAUGAGAUGCGUUCUGAAAAAUGCAAUUAAUCUUGUGUUUUUUAAGAUUGAAUGCACACACAAAGAAAGAGAGAGAGAGAGCGAUAGAGAUUUUUACAUAGUUGUAUAUCAUAAAACAUUAUAUAUUUAAUGAUAUAUUAUAACAUUUAAUCUCACUCUCUCUCUCUAUAUAUAUGAAGAGUUCAGAUGCAAAAGCCUCUAAAUCCAUCUGACGUAUUUCUUUAAAAUGAGCAUUUCUUUCUGGCUACUUUGUAUAGGUUUCUGUGUAAGUACUGGUUCUUCUGAUUGGGCUGAGGCUGGAAUUUAGUGAGUUUGAAGUAGAAGUAUUUGAUGGACGUAUAAUAUGUGUCGAGAGCAUUCACUCAGUAUCUCAUUUUUGACCGAGAUGGAUUUUAGCUGGUUUUGCAUCUGAACUCUCUCUCUCUCUCUCUAUAUAAAAUAGAAUGUUGUAUAUAUAAAUAAACAGAAAUACUAUCAUAUAUUUAUCACACAUUUAUUCCAUAAUGCUUUCUUUAUCUAUAAUAUUAUAUAAUGUGUAUUAUAUAUAUUUUAA